rnacentral:rRNA from 1 species
UACGGAGGGUGCAAGCGUUAAUCGGAAUUACUGGGCGUAAAGCGUGCGCAGGCGGUUUGUUAAGUCUGACGUGAAAUCCCCGGGCUCAACCUAGGAAUUGCGUUGGAGACUGCAAGGCUGGAGUCUGGCAGAGGGGGGUAGAAUUCCACGUGUAGCAGUGAAAUGCGUAGAGAUGUGGAGGAACACCGAUGGCGAAGGCAGCCCCCUGGGUCAAGACUGACGCUCAUGCACGAAAGCGUGGGGAGCAAACAGG